rnacentral:rRNA from 1 species
UGGGGAAUAUUGCACAAUGGGCGCAAGCCUGAUGCAGCCAUGCCGCGUGUAUGAAGAAGGCCUUCGGGUUGUAAAGUACUUUCAGUCGGGAGGAAGGUGUCAAGGUUAAUAACCUUGGCAAUUGACGUUACCGACAGAAGAAGCACCGGCUAACUCCGUGCCAGCAGCCGCGGUAAUACGGAGGGUGCAAGCGUUAAUCGGAAUUACCGGGCGUAAAGCGCACGCAGGCGGUUGAUUGAGUCAGAUGUGAAAUCCCCGGGCUUAACCCGGGAAUUGCAUCUGAUACUGGUCAGCUAGAGUCUUGUAGAGGGUGGUAGAAUUCCAGGUGUAGCGAUGAAAUGCGUAGAGAUCUGGAGGAAUACCGGUGGCGAAGGCGGCCCCCUGGACAAAGACUGACGCUCAGGUGCGAAAGCGUGGGGAGCAAACAGG